AGUAAUACAUCGGAACGUACCCAGAAGUGGGGGAUAACGUAGCGAAAGUUACGCUAAUACCGCAUACGUUCUACGGAAGAAAGUGGGGGACCUUCGGGCCUCAUGCUUUUGGAGCGGCCGAUGUCUGAUUAGCUAGUUGGUAGGGUAAAGGCCUACCAAGGCGACGAUCAGUAGCUGGUCUGAGAGGACGACCAGCCACACUGGGACUGAGACACGGCCCAGACUCCUACGGGAGGCAGCAGUGGGGAAUUUUGGACAAUGGGCGCAAGCCUGAUCCAGCAAUGCCGCGUGAGUGAAGAAGGCCUUCGGGUUGUAAAGCUCUUUUGUCAGGGAAGAAACGGCUGGGGCUAAUAUCCCCGGCUAAUGACGGUACCUGAAGAAUAAGCACCGGCUAACUACGUGCCAGCAGCCGCGGUAAUACGUAGGGUGCAAGCGUUAAUCGGAAUUACUGGGCGUAAAGCGUGCGCAGGCGGUUUUGUAAGUCUGACGUGAAAGCCCCGGGCUCAACCUGGGAAUUGCGUUGGAGACUGCAAGGCUUGAAUCUGGCAGAGGGGGGUAGAAUUCCACGUGUAGCAGUGAAAUGCGUAGAGAUGUGGAGGAACACCGAUGGCGAAGGCAGCCCCCUGGCUCAAGAUGACGUUCCCCACGAACGCGAAGUUCCCCCCUUAUAUUAA
rnacentral:rRNA from 1 species